rnacentral:misc_RNA from 1 species
AUCAUACUACACUCUUACGAAAAUUGGUUUUUCAUUGAUUAUCUAGAAAAUCGAUCGGUUUCACAGAAAACCCAAAGGUUUUAUGGCGUAUCCAAAAAAUGAUUUGGUUUUUUGCAAGAGAAACAAAAAUAAAUUGGUUUUCCAACAAUUCAUAUUUGAAAAACUAUUGGUAUUUUAGAAAAUAAAUGCGUGGGUUUUAAUUUAUUUUGGUUUUCCAAAUAUUCAUCUAUUAUCUUUAAAUUUGAUUGGUUGUUUACUUGCAGCCUCCAUAUUAGUUUUAAACAAGCGCGCUAUUUAAUAACUGUCAUUUAUUCGUUACUUAUAAAAUUGGAAUUGCUGUUAUCUAUUUUAAAUUUUACUCUCUAAGAAGUCGUUCAAUUAUUUUAUUAAACUAAUGGCAUCAAAUAUCUUUUUACCUGCAAACGUUAAACAAUGGGAUUUAUUGGAUUGUUGCAGUUGGCUAGAUUCCAUCGGAUUAACUAAUUAUAUAGAUGCUUUUAAAGGAGAAGAUAUUGAUGGUUCGGUUAUUAACGAAAUAGAUGAUUUUAUGUUAAAGGAACUAAUUCCUCCAAUUAAAGACAGAAUUAUUUUUAAGAAAGAAUGCAUC